GACGAACGCUGGCGGCGUGCCUAAUACAUGCAAGUUGAGCGCUGAAGGUUGGUACUUGUACCGACUGGAUGAGCAGCGAACGGGUGAGUAACGCGUGGGGAAUCUGCCUUUGAGCGGGGGACAACAUUUGGAAACGAAUGCUAAUACCGCAUAAAAACUUUAAACACAAGUUUUAAGUUUGAAAGAUGCAAUUGCAUCACUCAAAGAUGAUCCCGCGUUGUAUUAGCUAGUUGGUGAGGUAAAGGCUCACCAAGGCGAUGAUACAUAGCCGACCUGAGAGGGUGAUCGGCCACAUUGGGACUGAGACACGGCCCAAACUCCUACGGGUGGCAGCAGUAGGGAAUCUUCGGCAAUGGACGAAAGUCUGACCGAGCAACGCCGCGUGAGUGAAGAAGGUUUUCGGAUCGUAAAACUCUGUUGGUAGAGAAGAACGUUGGUGAGAGUGGAAAGCUCAUCAAGUGACGGUAACUACCCAGAAAGGGACGGCUAACUACGUG
rnacentral:rRNA from 1 species